CCGCCCUCCUGUAGGAGCCGCCGGCAAGGAGGCGACGCGGGAGCUCGUUUGAACGUAGCCGGAAAGGAGGAGUUGAGAUUACAGACAUCUGCCAAAAAUGAUUUCUUCAAAGCCCAAACUUGUCAUACCUUAUGGGCUUAAGACACUGCUCGAGGGAGUUAGCAGAGCCGUCCUCAAAACCAGGCCGCAAAACAUCACCCAGUUUGCAGCAGUUUAUUUUAAAGAACUUAUUCUGUUUAGAGAAGGGAAUGCUUCUCUGGAUAUAAAAGAUCUGGUUAAGCAGUUUCAGCAGGUUAAAG